AUAAAACUCUCUUAUAGCAAAACACUAAUCAUGUAUUAAUCAUUGUACAUAAAUCAUACAACACCUGAUGUAAUUGGGAUUAUGUUAUACUUGGACAAAAAGACAAAAAGGCAAAGAAAAAGGAUGCCUUGAUGUUAGGGCAGGAGAAGAAAAUAAGAGAAACAAAAACAAAAACAAAAGAAAGAAAGAAUGAUGGAAGCCCAUAACAGAACAUACAAUGCAACCUCCUACGGUUACAAACCUAUAAUACAGGGGGAAA